rnacentral:rRNA from 1 species
AGAGGAAGUAAAAGUCGUAACAAGGUUUCCGUAGGUGAACCUGCGGAAGGAUCAUUACCUAGAGUUGUAGGCUUUGCCUGCUAUCUCUUACCCAUGUCUUUUGAGUACCUUCGUUUCCUCGGCGGGUCCGCCCGCCGAUUGGACAUACUUAAACCCUUUGUAAUUGAAAUCAGCGUCUGAAAAACUUUUAAUAGUUACAACUUUCAACAACGGAUCUCUUGGUUCUGGCAUCGAUGAAGAACGCAGCGAAAUGCGAUAAGUAGUGUGAAUUGCAGAAUUCAGUGAAUCAUCGAAUCUUUGAACGCACAUUGCGCCCCUUGGUAUUCCAUGGGGCAUGCCUGUUCGAGCGUCAUUUGUACCUUCAAGCUUUGCUUGGUGUUGGGUGUUUGUCUCGCCUCUGCGCGCAGACUCGCCUCAAAACAAUUGGCAGCCGGCGUAUUGAUUUCGGAGCGCAGUACAUCUCGCGCUCUGCACUCAUAACGACGACGAUCCAAAAGUACAUUUUUACACUCUUGACCUCGGAUCAGGUAGGGAUACCCCGCUGAACUUAAGCAUAUCAAUA